GCCUCACUUCUGCCGACGAUGCAGGGCAAGUCGCCAAUUACCUCUGGAACACCUUCUUGGGCGGUCAAUCAGGUUCCCGCCCGCUGGGAGAUGCUGUUUUAGACGGUAUAGACUUUGAUAUCGAAACCGGGACAGGCCUGUAUUGGGACGAUCUGGCCAGGGCGCUCUCCCGAUUCAGCUCGCAGAAAAAGGUCUACUUAUCCGCCGCUCCACAAUGCCCAUUCCCUGACGGUCAUCUAAGCACGGCUAUCGGCACUGGCCUUUUCGAUUACGUCUGGAUACAAUUUUACAACAACGGGCAGUGUCAGUACGGGGCUAAUGCUGAUAACCUGAUAGCGAGAUGGAAUCAGUGGACUUCAGUUCAGUCCAAUCAGAUCUUCCUAGGCGUACCAGCAUCCGCAGAUGCUGCC
rnacentral:lncRNA from 1 species